GAUGAACGCUAGCUACAGGCUUAACACAUGCAAGUCGAGGGGUAACGAGAGGAAAGCUUGCUUUCCUUGUCGACGACCGGCGCACGGGUGAGUAACGCGUAUCCAACCUGCCCCCAACUAGGGAAUAACCUUGCGAAAGUAAGACUAAUACCCUAUAAUUUCCUCAGAUGUCAUCUGACGAGGAAUAAAGAUUUAUCGGUUGUGGAUGGGGAUGCGUCUGAUUAGCUUGUUGGCGGGGUAACGGCCCACCAAGGCAACGAUCAGUAGGGGUUCUGGAAGGAAGGUCCCCCACCUUGGAACUGAGACACGGUCCAAACUCCUACGGGAGGCAGCAGUGAGGAAUGUUGGUCAAUGGGCGGAAGCCUGAACCAGCCAAGUAGCGUGCAGGAUGACGGCCCUAUGGGUUGUAAACUGCUUUUAUACAGGAAUAAAGUUAGCCACGUGUGGUUAUUUGUAGGUACUGUAUGAAUAAGGACCGGCUAAUUCCGUGCCAGCCGCCGCCGUAA
rnacentral:rRNA from 1 species